UACGGAGGGUGCAAAGCGUUGCUCGGAAUCAUUGGGCGUAAAGGCGCACGUAGGCGGCUCGUUAAGUCGGGUGUGAAAGCCCUGGGCGUCAACCCAGGAAGUGCAUUCGAAACUGGCGAGCUUGAAUAUGGAAGAGGGUCGCGGAAUUCCCGGUGUAGAGGUGAAAUUCGUAGAUAUCGGGAGGAACACCAGUGGCGAAGGCGGC
rnacentral:rRNA from 1 species